UACGAGUGCCCCAAGCGUUAUCCGGAAUCAUUGGGCGUAACGGGUGUGUAGGCGGUCGGGUUAGUCUCCUGUCAAAUUCUUCGGCUCAACCGGGGGUCCGCAGGGGAAACGGCACGACUAGAGGAUGCGAGAGGUGAAUGGAACUCAUGGAGUAGGGGUGAAAUCCGUUGAUAUCAUGGGGAACACCGAAUGCGAAGGCAGUUCACUGGCGCACUCCUGACGCUGAGACACGAAAGCGUAGGUAGCGAAUGGG
rnacentral:rRNA from 1 species